AACGAACGCUGGCGGCAUGCCUAACACAUGCAAGUCGAACGAUUAUGGAACUAGCUUGCUAGUGCCCAGAUAGUGGCAGACGGGUGAGUAACGCGUGGGAAUCUACCUAGUAGUACGGAAUAGCCGUUGGAAACGACGAAUAAUACCGUAUAUUCCCUGAGGGGGAAAGAUUUAUCGCUACUAGAUGAGCCCGCGUUAGAUUAGCUAGUUGGUAGGGUAAUGGCCUACCAAGGGCAAUGAUCUAUAGCUGGUCUGAGAGGACGAUCAGCCACGACUGGAACUGAGAUACGGUCCAGACUCCUACGGGAGGCAGCAGUGGGGAAUAUUGGACAAUGGGCGAAAGCCUGAUCCAGCAAUGCCGCGUGAGUGAAGAAGGCCUUAGGGUU
rnacentral:rRNA from 1 species